rnacentral:lncRNA from 1 species
CCCUCUCAAAUAAUUUCACAUGAUCAUAUCAAAAUUAAAGGAAUCAAAAGCAUAGAUUCAAAAUUACAAAAAACACCAAGAGCAUUCAAUUUUAUCGACCAAUUUGUAUUAGGACAUCAAUUGGCCCGUCAAAUAUAACAAUCUCAUGAUUAUAAUCAUAAAGGCAUAAUUACAAUCAUAAACAUCCCAAAAUAAACCCCAAUUUAAUCCUCUAAGGAUCCUUACACAUGUUCAUUCUAACCCCAAUUGUUAUAAAUUCAUCCUUUACCUCUAAGAGGGCUCACUUGUAUAGUCCGACAGUGAUAGAGACAUCUCUAGUGAUUCCCUAAGAUUUCUUAUUUCUUCUGGUUGCUCUACUGGAGUUUCUAAGCGUUAGCGAGAAGGAGAAUGGAUUGAAGCUUCAAUUUCACUGUCUUUGUGUGAGAGAUAUUUCUCUCUCUGCCGAAAAUAUUUUCCAAAUCCCAACGGUGAGAAUUUCAAAGAACGAGCUCCAAAGG